rnacentral:misc_RNA from 1 species
AUCCUUUAAUAGCAAGGGAAAGCAGUAAGUAAUCAAACUGAGACAGUGAGUAUUGGUUAGUUGGAUUUGGUUUAGUUUAACUUAGAAAUUAAAAAUAAAUAAAUAAACUGAAAUUUUUAAGUAGGUCAAAUUGAAUUGAAUAAAAUUAGAGAGAAAAAUUAAAUUGAAUCGAACUAAACUAAUUCAGUUCGAUUUAAUUCAUUUCAAUUUAUCAAUUUGGGCUUUAAAUUAUUUCAUUUAACUUAUUUUGGAAUCAUUUCAUAUCUAAUUUCAGUUA